GACGAACGCUGGCGGCGUGCUUAACACAUGCAAGUCGAACGGAAAGGCCCUGCUUUUGUGGGGUGCUCGAGUGGCGAACGGGUGAGUAACACGUGAGUAACCUGCCCUUGACUUUGGGAUAACUUCAGGAAACUGGGGCUAAUACCGGAUAGGAGCUCCUGCUGCAUGGUGGGGGUUGGAAAGUUUCGGCGGUUGGGGAUGGACUGGCGGGUUAUCAGCUUGUUGGUGGGGUAGUGGCGUACUAAGGCUUUGACGGGUAGCCGGCCUGGGAGGGUGACCGGCCACAUUGGGACUGAGAUACGGCCCAGACUCCUACGGGAGGCAGCAGUGGGGAAUAUUGCACAAUGGGGGGAAGCCUGAUGCAGCAACGCCGCGUGCGGGAUGACGGCCUUCGGGUUGUAAACCGCUUUCGCCUGUGACGAAGCGUGAGUGACGGUAAUGGGUAAAGAAGCACCGGCUAACUACGUG
rnacentral:rRNA from 1 species